GACGAACGCUGGCGGCGUGCUUAACACAUGCAAGUCGAACGGAAAGGCCCUGCUUUUGUGGGGUGCUCGAGUGGCGAACGGGUGAGUAACACGUGAGUAACCUGCCCUUGACUUUGGGAUAACUUCAGGAAACUGGGGCUAAUACCGGAUAGGAGCUCCUGCUGCAUGGUGGGGGUUGGAACGUUUCGGCGGUUGGGGAUGGACUCGCGGCUUAUCAGCUUGUUGGUGGGGUAGUGGCUUACCAAGGCGUUGACGGGUAGCCGGCCUGAGAGGGUGACCGGCCACAUUGGGACUGAGAUACGGCCCAGACUCCUACGGGAGGCAGCAGUGGGGAAUAUUGCACAAUGGGCGGAAGCCUGAUGCAGCAACGCCGCGUGCGGGAUGACGGCCUUCGGGUUGUAAACCGCUUUCGCCUGUGACGAAGCGUGAGUGACGGUAAUGGGUAAAGAAGCACCGGCUAACUACGUG
rnacentral:rRNA from 1 species